UGGAGCACCAAGGUUUCAGCUGUGUGUUCUACUGUUCUUGCUGAGACAAAGAACUCUGAUACUUAUGGUCCAUGGAAGCGGAAAUGCCUUGCUGACUUCGGGAUCGUCACUCAAUGUGUGGCCCCAACAAGGGUCAAUGACCAAUAUCUGACAAAUGUUCCGCUGAAGAUCAAUGCAGAGGUUUGUGACUCCGCCACAUCUAAUUCUUAUUGAAACAUUAUUUACAUGUGUGUCUUCUUUCUACUAAUCCUUUUUCUAAUCAGCUUGGUGGAUGAACUCGGUGCUACAAGUUGAAAUUUCCCCAAAUAUACCUCUUGUAUCAAAGGUGCCAACUAUCAUCUUGGGAAUAUACGUGUCCCAUGGAUCCCCUGGACAGUCUGAUAUACCAUCCGUUGCAGCAGUAUGCUACUAAAUUUCCUCUAUCUGCAUUGGAGUACUUCCAAAUCUAAGAUAUCAAAACUAGUUGUCUGCACAAUUCUGAAGAUCAUUAACUAUUGUAUGUGAUGUUCGUUUGCUUGCUUGUUUUCAUUGUGACUAUAGUUCAUUGGUUUUCGAGAAUGGCCGCUUGUCCCGAAAUAUAGUGCUUCCAUGCGCUCGCAGUCACCAAAACUACAAAUGAUAGAUUCAUUGUUUAAGCCAAAAGGAGCUGAUGAUGAUGGCCUUGUUUGGUAAGAUAUUUUUGUUUUUGUUCAGUCAUCCAUACAAAUAUACUAGAAUGGUUCUCUUGAUGUUUUAUUUUCCUGUUGCUAUUCUGAACUGCUUCAGGGAGUGUCUCAUUGACUUCUACACCAGUCCUGGAAAAGAAAACCAGAUCAGAUCAUAUUCUUCAGGUUUUUUAUCCUUUCUGAAUAACUGCUUGCAGAUAUCAGCGUCAAUGUCGGAGAGAAAUAGUAGGGUCAUUCAGUUGUGUACAAUGAUUGACUGCUUGUCUCGAGGACACUUGUGUGACUGUUAUUUUCGAUGUUGAUCUCUCCAUCUUCAUUACAAGGAUGGCAUAAACGGGAGCCAGUUUAAUCUGGUGCUGGAACGUUGAAUUAGAUCAAGUAAUUCAGGCCUGCAAGUUCUUGGAUGAAAAUUGGAACCCCAAGUUCACACUGACUGUUGCUCAGAAAAAUCGCACAUGAAGUUUUCCAUGCCUGGAUCUCCUGACAAUAUCCCUCCUGGCACUGUUGUCGAUAACGCAGUCUGCCAUCCAGGGAAUUAUGAGUUUAUGACUUCUACAUAUGUGCGCAUGCUGGGAUGAUCGUAAGUAUUCUCUCUGGUGCAUCAUGCUUGCCUGUUCAAUGUUUUCCCUAGUGCUGUUUUAUUUGUGAUCUAUGCCGUUUCAUACCAAGUAAACACAAAGAUUAAAAGUUCCGAACCAUCUGCAGCAAGUAUUCUCAUUGUUUGCCCUAGUACUGAUGUUUGUGAUUUAUGCCAUUUUCUACUGAAUACAGACAAUUAUACAACCAGUAGUUCCCUUGAUCAGUUAAAUACUGCCCUGUCUGUCCUAGAGCCAUUUGCUUAAUGGGACCUUAAACCUUAUUUGAACCGAUGACUUAUUUAUUUUUAGCCUAUAGUGUCAUUACUGAUUUACCUUGAUUGUCUGUGAAUAUUUUUGUAAGUGUCUAAAUUUUGUAAGAAAAUAUUAUUGUGGUUGAUGCAUUUAGCAUAUAAUAAGUACAGUAUGAUGAAAAACUCCAGUCAGCAGGGCAUUUUUAAAAUCGUAUUUACAGAAGUAGGUAUUGGAUAGCAGUAUAUGGCAUCACUGGAACUACACAGCUCUCGAGAUUGAACGACUUCUAAGCGUGUGUAGUUGGCAUGUCCAGAGAUUCUUUGCCCUGUUAUUUUGGUUAGGCCUGGCUCUCAAUUGUAGUGUUGUGCUUAUGAAUUUUGACAGUGGUGAACCCUGGGGACAAUUUCCAGUUUGUUGAGGUGUAGACUUGAUAGAGCUAAUCUUAUUUGUGUGUUCCAGGGGACUACAAGGCCAACAGUUCAGAAUACAUUGAUUGCUAUUGUCUUACAACAGAUAUAUGCAAAGCAUCUGUGCAGAUAACGAGGUACCCAAUCAGCAACUCUAACUACGCGCUGUUGCUAUCGUCAAGGUUUAUCAAACAUCUUAGUAGGCGAUCAAUGAUGCAUUUUACAGUGCAUGUGUGAGCAAAAAGAAA